rnacentral:rRNA from 1 species
GCUUACGGCCAUACCACUCUGAGCACGCCGACUCGUCCGAUCUCGGAAGCCAAGCAGGCGGGGCAUGGUUAGUACUUGACGGAGACCGCCUGGGAAUACCAGGUGCUGUUAAGCU